GAUGAAGAACGUAGCGAAAUGCGAUAGUAAUGUGAAUUGCAGAAUUCAGUGAAUCAUCGAAUCUUUGAACGCAUCUUGCGCUCCUUGGUAUUCUGAGGAGCAUGCCUGUUUGAGUGUCAUUAAAUUCUCAACUACACUGACUUUGAAUUGGUGUGGCUUGGAUUUGGGGGGAAAAUUGUUGUGGGCUUUUUGUAUAGUCUGCUCCCCUGAAAUUGAUUAGCGGUACCUUUGUGGAACUGUCUACAGGUGUGAUAAUUAUCUACAUCUUAGACAUCUGCUGGAAUGCUGCUUUCUAAACCUUACUUGUAUUGACAAUCUUGACCUCAAAUCAGGUAGGACUACCCGCUGAACUUAAGCAUAUCAAAAGCGGAGGA
rnacentral:misc_RNA from 1 species